CUUAAGUAGUAGAAGGCAGUUAGAGAAAAAGUAUCUACUGGCCUUGUCAAUAUGCAGAUUUCAAAAUACCCCUUAUGAGAAUCCAGAGAAUGAUGUGUAUAUGGGAAGAUUUUAUUUGCCCUUCCAGAAGAAAUCAGUAUCUAUGCAAAUCUUGAAAGAUGAAAUUAAAGGUCGUAAUGAUUCAGCAUCAGUGCUUGACCUGCUGUAUCCUGAAUGGUGAACUCUGGAAGCAGGGAUUGUGUUUGUCUGGCUCUUUAGAGCUAGAAAUGUAGUGGCUUUCAUUAAAUAUUUGCUGUAAAGUCUCUCCAAGACCAAUUAUCAUCUUGGCAUGUUUCAGUAUCUUCUCUGUCAUAGGCCCUAGAUUCAUUGUUG